ensembl:lncRNA
CCUUACCAUCCAUAAAGAAUUUCAUGCACUGCAGUAAGGGUCAGGUAAUCGGUCCCAAAUCUAAGAUUCAGUUUGUUGACAUGCACAUUGGAAAGCCAAUAAUUCCAGCGUCAAUCAACUAUGAAAACUUAAAGGUAUUGAAUCUGUUUUGUGGGAUUGCCUCCUUCACACCCAAAGGUUAAACCAUUGCUGCUUAAAUACAUUAUCCGGCCAACGGUAAAAUUUAAAUAGCUUCGUUAAAAAUGUUUAUGAACAUGCGUAGAGGAUAUAAAUGACCACUGUAAACAUUCCACUUUUCUAUUCUUGUUCCCAUUGUCUCAAUAGUGGAGGAGAGCAGGUCCCAUUCCAUUUCUGUGGUCCAUUCUUUCCCAGCAUGCACCAUGGUCAUAGCGGGCGAUGACCCCAGUGUUUGGUCAAAGCCCUCCUCCCCUGGCGGCCGUUCGCCAGGAGACACCCCAGAAGAAGAAGAGAAGGUGGACCCCUGUUCGGACCCCACUCAGGUGAAGGAGGAGGUGGAGCCCAUAGUUCCAGGGGAGCCAGGGGGCCAGACCGGGAGCGAGGGGGGGGAGGACGUGCUGCCCUCUGAUGCAGGGGAAGUGAAGGAGCAGGGCUCGGAGGACCUAGAGAAGAGCGAUGUGGUGAGCAGGAAGAGCUCUCCUGGAGACGACGCCCUUAUGCCCUUUGACCCCAGCAGUCCUGUUGGUUUGGAGUUCCUGGUUCCAAAGACCGGAUUCUUCUGCAAAGUGUGCAACCGUUUCUUCACCGGAAGCCAGGAGGCACAAAUCAGCCACUGCAAGACACUGAAACAUUAUGAAAGCCUGCAGAAAUAUUUACAGCCCAAGAAGAUGGAAAAAUCUCCUGGCAAAUCUACCACAAGCUAGGUCCGCCCAAGACGACCUGAACAUCUAUCAUUCCUUGCCUUUUUUAAACAGUUUCUCCCUGUUGACGACUUAAUGGGAGAAGAGGGUCCAGUGUUUUUCUUUUUGUAAAGUCGUCGUUCCUUUUCAUUUUGAGUCGUUGAUUUUCUGGUUACAAUAUAUUAAUUCAUUUAUUGAAAGUGGAAGUAGGUUGCUAUGCCUAAUAAAAGAGGAUUUUAUUAACUUA